UGCCAGACUCCUACGGGAGGCAGCAGUGGGGAAUCUUCCGCAAUGGGCGAAAGCCUGACGGAGCAACGCCGCGUGAUCGAAUGAAGGCCUUCGGGUUGUAAAGAUCUGUUGACAGGGACGAAUAAGCAAUGCGAAUAGUUUUGUGUAUGACGGUACCUGUUUAGAAAGCUCCGGCUAACUACGUGCCAGCAGCCGCGGUAAUACGUAGGGAGCAAGCGUUGUCCGGAAUUACUGGGCGUAAAGGGCGCGUAGGUGGGCGCUUAAGUCAGGUGUGAAAACUCCGGGCUCAACCUGGAGACUGCACUUGAACCUGUUGGUCUUGAGUAUCGGAGAGGCAGGCGGAAUUCCUAGUGUAGCGGUGAAAUGCGUAGAUAUUAGGAGGAACACCAGUGGCGAAGGCGGCCUGCUGGACGACAACUGACGGUGAGGCGCGAAAGCGUGGGGAGCAAACAGGAUUAGAUACCCCGGUACU
rnacentral:rRNA from 1 species